rnacentral:rRNA from 1 species
UGGGGAAUAUUGGGCAAUGGGCGCAAGCCUGACCCAGCCAUGCCGCGUGAGUGAUGAAGGCCUUCGGGUCGUAAAGCUCUGUGGGGAGGGACGAAACAGCCCGGUGCCAAUACCACCGGGCCUUGACGGUACCUCCUUAGCAAGCACCGGCUAACUCCGUGCCAGCAGCCGCGGUAAUACGGAGGGUGCAAACGUUGCUCGGAAUCAUUGGGCGUAAAGCGCACGUAGGCGGCCCGCUAAGUCGGAUGUGAAAGCCCAGGGCUCAACCCUGGAAGUGCAUUCGAAACUGACGGGCUUGAAUAUGGAAGAGGGUCGCGGAAUUCCCGGUGUAGAGGUGAAAUUCGUAGAUAUCGGGAGGAACACCAGUGGCGAAGGCGGCGACCUGGGCCAAUAUUGACGCUGAGGUGCGAAAGCGUGGGGAGCAAACAGGAUUAGAUACCCGCGUAGUCC